rnacentral:rRNA from 1 species
GUGGACGCUUGCCUUAAAGAUUAAGCCAUGCAAGCCAGCGAAGGUAACGGAGCGGCGAACGGCUCAGUAGGACAGGGUUAUCUGACCACCGAACAGGAUAACCGCGGUAAUCUGUGGCUAAUACGUGUGUGGGUGAGACUCUGCCCUAUCAGCUUGGGGGUACGGUAAGUGCGUACCCUUGCGACGACGGGUAACGGGAAAUCGGGGUUUGAUUCCGGAGAGGGAGCCUGAGAGAUGGCUACCACGUCCAAGGAUGGCAGCAGGCGCGGAAAUUACCCACUUGGAGGACCAGAGGUAGUGACGAGGCGUUUUUAAUGAGAAUAGUGUAAAAAGCUGUUCGAAAGCAACUGGAGGGCAAGUCUGGUGCCAGCAGCCGCGG